ensembl:lncRNA
AAACCUUUUGUGUAAACAAAUAUCCUUAAAAACAUGACAAGUUGGGUUUACUCAAACCGUUUGAGGAAACCGAUUGUCUUGUGAGUACUCUGAACUUAAUUUAGUUGAGUUCACUGAAAGAAGAUAUACAUUGCAAUUAAAUAAUUAAGUGAUUAAUUGAGUGAUAAUUGUGAAUUAGUGAUGAACACCUGCUGUUAACAAACAGAAUUACUGAAGAAAAGAGAAACACAACAACUACAACUGACUUCAGACACAGCCUUAGAUAAAAUAAACUGAAAUAAAAUACAUUAAAUACAUUAAAUCUCUCAAUAUUUAGCUAACAGGUAUUUCUGCAUGGCUGUCAACAGAGAAAGAUGCUCUUUGCAGGCAGAUGGUGUAGUUAUUAACUUGCAAGCAUGCUAAAAUCACAAGUUAUUUGUACUCUUUGUAUGCAUGUACUAAUCUGUGGUCUACAGACAUACAUGCACAUCCCACUAUUUCACACUGAUCUAGAAUCAGAUUGCUCAGGUCACAUCUUAUUCACAAUAUGACAGGAAGCACAAACACAGACCUCAGAUAUCUGUGAAAAGGCUCGUGUACACGCCUCAUGUUAAAGGAAGUAGAUGCUGUGCAAGUUUUGUUAGUUUAAAAAAUAUUGAGUUCCUUUUGCACACCAGUAGAGCCAUCAAAGCUGCUUAAGAGUAUAGUAAUGACUUAAACUAGGAAGUACUCAUAUAAAGUGGUCUACAGUGGAAUAUAACAAGGUUUACACACAAAAUGAAGUUCUGUGUUUUGGGGAUCUGGAUUUGUCUGUCAGAAAUUGGGAUUUCAGCUACAGAUGGAACAGAUAUACAUGGAUACAGUGGAAAAGGUGUCACAAUUACAAGUUCCCACAGCUGGGCUUCGACCAACAUAAAGUAUUUCUGCAGAGCUCCAUGUAAGAUUUAUUAGUGAAAUCUGACCAGUAACCUACAGGAAGAUACAGACUGGAGGAUUUUGGAAAUGGCACCUUCACUGUGAGCAUCACUGAUCUACAGGAGUCAGACUCUGGCAUUUACUGGUGUGGAGUGAAGAGAGCUGUAACAGAAACACAUAACACAAUCAGUCUGACAAUAUCUAAAGACACAAACACAACAGAUCCACAACUCCUAAAUCAGCAGCAAGUUCUCAAUCCACAACAACAAAAAGUUCAUUCUCCACAUCUGGUGACAUCACAACCGCAUCUUCCUGAAAAGGAUUUACAGAUCCUGCCAUUUCAUCCAGACCAGCAUUUAAUGAGAGCAGUGCACAAUAUUCACUCUCCUCAGGUGCUCUGAUGUUCUCAUCUGUCGGUCUGACUGUGAUGGUGAUCAUAUUUGGGGUUGUUCUCUGUAUAUGCAAAAGGCAAAAGAACAAGUCACACAGUUCCAAUGGUAAAUGCAAAUUGUAAAAAAAAAAAAAAAGUAAAAAGAAUUUGCAAUAUAGCCUAAAUACAUCUGAUAAAGUUUUUCCCUGUUUCCCAUUUAAGAUGAUGCUGAAAUCCAAGGCACCACAUGUACCACAGAGGUAAGAAACACAGAACACUUCUUCCAUAUUUCAAAAGUAUGUGAAUUUACAAGUGUUUUUUUUUUUUUUUUUUUUUUUUUUUGGCAUAUCUGAUGCUUUGAAAAGUAUACUUUGCUAAAAGAAAAUGCUCAAGUCUGAAAUUACAGUGUGUUCCAUUCAAAAACUGAUUUGGAACAUCUCCAAACUCUGAAGGUCCACUAAAGACGAUAUACAACAUAGAACAACAUAAAAGUGGGGUCACAUUUACUGCUGCUCUGCGAAAUUUCAUAGGCAAAAUACAAUCAUUUCAAUAGGAAUUUGUGUUUACUAAGGGUGGAAAAGUUCCCCACACAGAUUUCGCUCGUGUUCAAGGUGGCCACUUGAAAUCGAUACACUGACCAAAAAAAAGCUGCUUGGUUUGAAAGUGACUUCUGCGUGAGCAGUGCUUCCUAAUGUUUCUGACAAUGGACCUUUUCUGCCCCGUGAAAUUUUGCCAAAAUAUGGGUAAUGUGACCACACUUUCAGAACACAAAAUGCCAGCGCUUUGUAGUUGACUGUCAACAUAGUCUCCUAGCUAACAUUAUAGUUAAGAAUAAGUGACUUUAUUAAUUCUCCCAAUACAAGUGUAUUUUUUGUAAUAAAAAAGUAGUUCAUUUUUUAAUACUUUAUUAC